UGAAGUACUUUGAAGAUUACAAAUGUAAAAACUAUUCUAAAGAUAAGCUAGUUGAGGUCGAGGAGGAUUGGGAAACUUUUAUGGUCGAGUAUAUUAGAGAAAAUGUUGCUGGUAGAUUUAUCAACUAGAGGUCGGAUAGCUUGUCAUGAGUCCUCUUAAAUUUCGGUGUUUUUUUGUUGGUAAUUGUGGCUGCUUUUAGGUGCUCUUUUUAUUUUCUUUUCUUUUUUUGUAAUUGUGGAUUAAUUAAUAUUAUGACAUUUGUAAUGAGAUUAUCAUGAAUGCAAUUUGCUAAAUUCA